AUGAACGCUGGCGGCGUGCCUAAUCCCUGCAAGUCGAGCGAACAGACGAGGAGCUUGCUCCUCUGACGUUAGCGGCGGACGGGUGAGUAACACGUGGAUAACCUACCUAUAAGACUGGGAUAACUUCGGGAAACCGGAGCUAAUACCGGAUAAUAUAUUGAACCGCAUGGUUCAAUAGUGAAAGACGGUUUUGCUGUCACUUAUAGAUGGAUCCGCGCCGCAUUAGCUAGUUGGUAAGGUAACGGCUUACCAAGGCAACGAUGCGUAGCCGACCUGAGAGGGUGAUCGGCCACACUGGAACUGAGACACGGUCCAGACUCCUACGGGAGGCAGCAGUAGGGAAUCUUCCGCAAUGGGCGAAAGCCUGACGGAGCAACGCCGCGUGAGUGAUGUAGGUCUUCGGAUCGUAAAACUCUGUUAUUAGGGAAGAACAAAUGUGUAAGUAACUAUGCACGUCUUGACGGUACCUAAUCAGAAAGCCACGGCUAACUACGUG
rnacentral:rRNA from 1 species